rnacentral:rRNA from 1 species
UACAGAGGUCUCAAGCGUUGUUCGGAUUCAUUGGGCGUAAAGGGUGCGUAGGCGGCGCGGUAAGUCGGGUGUGAAAUCUCGGGGCUUAACUCCGAAACUGCACUCGAUACUGCCGUGCUUGAGGACUGGAGAGGAGACUGGAAUUUACGGUGUAGCGGUGAAAUGCGUAGAUAUCGUAAGGAAGACCAGUGGCGAAGGCGGGUCUCUGGACAGUUCCUGACGCUGAGGCACGAAGGCCAGGGGAGCAAACGGG